UUAGGAACAUUUCAGCAAAUUUGAAUUGAAGAAUAAUUGCAUUUGUAGAAGUAGAUUGUGUUUAGUAUUAUUAUUUCUCUUUGCAGGUUUGUCAUGGUGGUAUAUUAUUAUUCCCCUAUCCCUAGCUGUACUCUUAUCAGCUGUUGUUUUGGUCAUCAUCCGAUGGAGGCAAACUAAAGAAAAUGAAAGUCAAGUUAAAGCCAGUGGGAUGUCCCACUAUGAAGUGGCAAUCAAGCCAGACCUGAGCCCAGACUCUGCAGGAGCCACAGUUGUUCCAGAAACCAGUCAGAAAGAAACUGAUCCUGGGGAAGGUGUUUCCUACGCCUCCUUUAACUUCAAUGAAACCAAGAGGAAACCAGGCAAUGUUGAAACAGUGGUCUACAGCACUGUGAACACUUCCUCCCCUUCUGCUAGAGUUUUCUCUGAUACAAACACUCUUUAUUCUACUGC